rnacentral:rRNA from 1 species
UACAGAGGGUGCAAGCGUUAAUCGGAAUUACUGGGCGUAAAGCGUGCGUAGACGGUCAUGUAAGUCGGGUGUGAAAGCCCCGGGCUCAACCUGGGAAUUGCAUUCGAGACUGCAUGGCUAGGAUGCGGAAGAGGGAAGCGGAAUUUCCGGUGUAGCGGUGAAAUGCGUAGAGAUUGGGAAGAACAUCCGUGGCGAAAGCGCUCUGCUGGACUGCAACUGACAUUGAGGGACGAAAGCUAGGGGAGCGAAUGGG